ensembl:lincRNA
AUGGAUCAAAAGAACUCCACUUGCAUCCAAACAAAAACGGAGAAGCAGCAGGCAUGGUUGGAAGCAAUCGGCAGAAAAGACUUUCUGCCAGGCAAGGGGACAGUCGUUUGCUCGAUGCACUUUGUAAAGGGCUCGCCAACCGCCGAGCAUCCAGUGCCAGUGCUAAACAUGGGGUCCUCCGAAAACGAAGACCUGACGGAAAGCAAGAGUGGUGGGGAUGAGAGACCGGCUAGGAAAAGAGUUUACAAGGCACUGCUGGAGGACACGGGCGGCGGCCCCCCCACGGGGUCUGCAAAGAAACUUGAAAUAGACGGGCGAUACCCCCAAGGCUCCUGGGAGCAGGCCACUGUUGAAGCCAUCAUGCAGUUACGCAACUUCGAUAGCCCCAGCAGCUCCCUUGUGGCGCAGACGACCAUCGCGAACCUGAAGGAUGAAAACGAUUUCCUCCGUGCUCAAAACAGCAGUCUUAAGGCGGAGCUGAAGUCAACCCAAGAGGGACUGGAGGCGGAAGUGAGAGCAGUCAAGGAGGAGCUGGAGACGGUUAAAGGGGCUUGCCGGUGCAGGGUUGAAUCCAGGACAGCGAAGCCCGCUACGGCGGAAGCUGUGCCGGAGCUAGAAGGUGUAACUGUAACUGUAACUAAAGACGAGUUGGAUGGUAUCGCUGUCUCAAACGAGGAGGAGGUCCCUGCUAGAGGAGAUACUGCUGCGUGCAUCCCUCUUGAAAUUGGCACUGUAAUCCUAACUCGGACACUCUAAAAUUCUGCUUUGUUUUAUUGUGUAAUUAUUUGUUACGGAUUUUUAUUUUGCAGUCGGACGGAGCAUCUAGACAACCGUAGCAGUAUACUAUAUACUGAGUUUCUGGAGUUCUCAACUGUAUUUCCUCUAUGUCUUAAUGCCAUAUUUACAGAAGGUUCCCCAAUUAACUUUUGGUUUAGGAAGAGGUAUGUUAGACACUGGAAAUGUGUACGGAUCACGGAGAAAUCUGCCACGGUGUCUUUAAGGAUUUUUCAUCGUGUGUGUGUGUGUUUUUUUUCCAGGACUUAAAAUGGUAUGAAUCAUACCUCAGUGAUAUAUUUGUGGAUAUGAUUACCAUAAUCACCUUUGUUUUACAGUUACGAUCUAUUUAUUUUAAGCUUCUCUGCCAAGGAGAAGUCUUUAAUUUUUUUUUGUUUUGGUAAACAUAACAGAUUUGGGAGAAAAAAAAGUUUCUUGAUAUUUUAAAAGAACAAGCAGUUUAUUGUUUUCUUUUAACACCGUGUCAAAAAUAAUUUUCGUGUAAAAAUAAAGGCCUUUUUUUGUCCUCACAGAUCUCUGUUCUAGUCUUUGUGAUUGUAGGAUAGGCUGUUGUCAAAGCCUACGUACUGCAGAGCUGAAUAUGGGAAAGGAAGCAGAGAUAACUCCUAAGUGGUGUGGCCUUUUUACAAUGGAUGGGUUUGCAUCACAUUCUUACAGCUUCCAAAGAGGAAAACAUUCCCAAAAAACAUUUACUUGGUGUGAUAUUGUACACAGUAUUUGCAAAACAUUUACAAAGUGCUACAUGCUGAAAUGUUUUACAAUAACCAUGUUAUUGUUGGAAUAAAGGUGUUUUUUAUUGGAAAAAAUGCAUCUUUUAGUCCCAUAGGUUUAUACCUCUCAAUCCGCACACGAGGAAAAGUAGAGCAUUAUGCAACAGGCUUCUGUUUAAAGGGGAACAGUUACAGUAACUACUGUAUUUAAAGAGUUAUGAAGCUCUAUGUGAAUGGUUAUGAAGCUAUGAUUUGCUGUAUAAUGUAUGCAUGUAAAAAAUAGAAAAUGGUUAUCAUCUUUCUAAGAGUAUUGUUUAUUCAAGUUUGGUAAUGACAAAUAAGUCUUCUAAUUAAAACUAGUGGCUGG